UACGUAGGGCGCAAGCGUUGUCCGGAAUGAUUGGGCGUAAAGAGCUCGUAGGCGGCCUGGUACGUCUGCUGUGAAAUCCCGGGGCUUAACCCCGGGCGUGCAGUGGAUACGGGCAGGCUGGAGGCAGGCAGGGGAGAACGGAAUUCCCGGUGUAGCGGUGAAAUGCGCAGAUAUCAGGAGGAACACCGGUGGCGAAGGCGGGUCUCUGGGCCGUUACUGACGCUGAGGAGCGAAAGCGUGGGGAGCGAACAGG
rnacentral:rRNA from 1 species